CAGAGUUCAUGCCCUUUAUGGGUAGACCUCCCACCCUAUGUUAUACAUACCUUUGUUGCUUUGGCGGGCCGCCUUCGGGCUAUCGGCUUCGGCUGGUGCGCGCCCGCCAAAGAACCCCAAAUUCUGAAUUAAGUGUCGUCUGAGUACUAUAUAAUAGUUA
rnacentral:misc_RNA from 1 species